rnacentral:lncRNA from 1 species
AAAACACUUUUCAGAUUGAAUGAUACUUUGGAGAAACUCUAGGUUUUUUCAUUUAGCAAAGCAUUACCAAGCACCUCUUCAGUGUGGCGUAUGUUUGAGCCCGACAGCCUGGUCUCGCAUUCCUGGUCUGGGUUUCUAUAGUUACCAGCUAGGCGACCUCAGGUGUGUUAUCUGUGCAUCAGUUACUUCAUCUGUAAAAUGUGAUGAAAAUAAUAGUAAACCCACACCCUGGAAUAGUUGUAAGAGUAAAUGAAUUAAUACAGGCAAAGUGCUUAGCACAUAGUAAAGCAUCCGGGAUGCAGUGUAUUCAAUUGGCAUUAGUUAUUCUUGCUUGGAACCAGUGCCGAUGCCAGAUCCUAGUGUCACUGAAGAAUCUGACUCCGCUGCUGCCUUCCAGGAGCUCAGAGCUGGGAGUGGGGAUACAGAUAAAUGAGUGUGAUAGGCAUCAUAAGGGGCAUUACAGUGAGAAGGCGUUGGGGAAGGCAGGGUGUUGGAAAAGAUGUCACAGAGUUUCAGUUCUUCAGUGGAGAGAACCCAGAAGAUCCUGGACCCAGGAGGACGCCUCUGAUGCCGAGCCUUCGCCCCUGAGCACCCAGCUUCUGUGAAAGGGAAGGAAGACAGGUUCCCAGGAGGGAAGUGUGGCUCUGUCCAUCGUGAGCCAUAUGCGUAAUUUCAAGUUUUCUAGUAGCCACUUAAAAAAACAAAAAAAAGUAAAGUAGGCUGGGCCCGGUGGCUCACGCCUGUUAUCCCAGCACUUUGGGAGGCCGAGGCGAAGGAUCACUUGAGGUCAGGAGUUCGAGACUGGCCGGGGCAACAUGGUGAAACUCCGCCUCUACUAAAAAUACAAAAAUUAGCCGGGCAUGGUGGUGCACGCCCAUAGUCCCAGCUACUUGGGAGGUCGAGGCAGGAGAAUAGCUUGAACUCGGGAGGUGGAGGUUGCAGUGAGCCGAGAUCGCACCACUGCACUCCAGCCUGGGCAACAGAGCGAGACUCCAUUUCAAAAAGAGAAUCAUAGAAAAAAAUAAUGAAACAGGGGCCGGGCGCGUUGGCUCACGCUGUAAUCCCAGCACUUUGGGAGGCAGAGGCGGUUGGAUCACCUGAGGUCAGGAGUUCAAGACCAGCCUGACCAACAUGGUGAAACCCCUUCUCUGCUAAAAAUACAAGAAUUAGACGGGCAUGGUGGUGGACACCUGUAAUCUCAGCUGCUCGGGAGGCUGAGGCAGGAGAAUCGCUUGAACCCGGGAGGCGGAGGUUGCAGUGAGCGGAGAUGGCGCAUGGCACUCCAGCCUGGGCAACAAGAGCAAAACUCUGUCUCAAAAAAAAAGAAUGGAACAGGUGACUUGAAUUGUAAUAAUAUUUCAAUCUAACCCCAUAUAUCCAAAAAUGUUCUCAUUUCAACAUGCCAUUAAUCUAAAAAUCAUUCAGACACCUUACAUUCUUUUUUUGAUACUAAGUCUUUGAAAUCUGAUGUUUUUUGUUUCUUGCCCUUCUCAAUUUGGACUACUCACAUUUCAAGGGCUCAGUAGCCACUUGUGGCUAUUGAUAAUUUUAGUCAGGUAAGUACCUGCUGCAGGACAAGGGCUUAGGAGGAUUUCAGAGCAUCCCUGGGAGAUGGCUAGGCUCAGGGUUUCUCCUGGCCCUGCCCACAGCCCUGCCAGCCCACACCUCCCCCACACACUUCCUGGACGCUUGCUGUCUCUCUCUUCACCCCUCAGGCCUCCGCCUUGCUACAUCAGAGCUGUUUUCUAAAACACAACUUCAGCCGGGCAUAGUGGCUCCUGUCUGUAGUCUCAGCUACUCUAGAGGCUGAGGUGGGAGUAUCACUUGAACCUAGCAGUUUGAGACCAGCCUAUGCAACAUAGUGAGACCCCUGUCUCUACAAAACAAUUUUAAAAUUAGCCAGGCAUGGGCCUGGGGUGGUGGCUCAUGCCUGUAAAUCCUAACAUUUUGACAGGCUGAGGUGGGGGGGAUCUUUUGAGACAGGCCUGGGCAACAUAGUGACACCUUGUCUCUAAAUUAUAUUUAAAAAUAUAUAUAUACACACAUAUACACAUAUAUAGUAUAGAUAUACACAUAUACGUACAUGUAUAGAUAUACACAUAUACGUACGUGUAUAGAUAUACACAUAUACGUACAUGUAUAGAUAUACACAUAUACACAUAUAUACAUAUAUAUGUGUGUAUAUAUAUAUAUAGCACCUGUGAUCCCACCUACUGGGGAGGCUGAGGCAGAGAAAUCACUUGAGCCCAGGAGUUUGAGGUUACAGUGAGCUAUGAUCACACCACUGCACUCCAACCUGGGCAACAGAGCAAGAUCCUGUCUCAAAAAAAUUAAAAUAUAUAAUAAAAUAACAAAUGCAGCUUAGCUUGUCAUGCCCCAGAUUAGGAAACUUGUGUGGCUACCCCUGUCUCUCUGCUCCCCUCUGGUCUGAGAACAGAGCUAUUCA